rnacentral:rRNA from 1 species
CACGGGGGGAACGAGCGUUGUUCGGAUUUACUGGGCGUAAAGGGUGCGUAGGCGGGUCGGCAAGUCGGGUGUGAAAUUCCAUGGCUUAACCAUGGAUCUGCAUUCGAAACUGCCGGUCUUGAGUACUGGAGAGGUGAGUGGAAUUCCUGGUGUAGCGGUGAAAUGCGUAGAUAUCAGGAGGAACACCGUUGGCGAAGGCGGCUCACUGGACAGAUACUGACGCUGAGGAACGAAGGUCGGGGGAGCAAACAGG